rnacentral:rRNA from 1 species
GACGAACGCUGGCGGCGUGCUUAACACAUGCAAGUCGAACGGAAAGGCCCUGCUUUUGUGGGGUGCUCGAGUGGCGAACGGGUGAGUAACACGUGAGUAACCUGCCCUUGACUUUGGGAUAACUUCAGGAAACUGGGGCUAAUACCGGAUAGGAGCUCCUGCUGCAUGGUGGGGGUUGGAAAGUUUCGGUGGUUGGGCUUGGACUCGCGGCUUAUCAGCUUGUUGGUGGGGUGGUGGAUUACCAAGGCUUUGACGGGUAGCCGGCCUGAGAGGGUGACCGGCCACAGUGGGACUGAGAUACGGCCCAGACUCCUACGGGGGGAAGCAGUGGGGAAUCUUGCACAAUGGGCGGAAGCAGGAUGCAGCAACGCCGCGUCCGGGAUGACGGCCUUCGGGUUGUAAACAGCUUUCGCCUGUGACGAACAGUGAGUGACGGUAAUGGAUAAAGAAGCACCGGCUAACUACGUG